GAGCUCCCCGUUCACGGCCACCUGCUCCCUCACUCACGUGGUCCUCCCCCCUCCUCCACUUUUCUCUCUCCAUAAAGCCGUCUCCAACGCGCAGGCAAACCCUAGCCUUGCUCCCUCUCCUCGCGCCGCCAUCACCCUCCUCCUUUUCUUCUCUGUGAGAAAACCACCGCGAGUUCCUCGUCGACGUCCGGCCAUCUCCGUCAUCCCCUCGCUGCGCCGCCGCCACCAAUCGACGCGCCUCGAUCCCCUCUGCAACCUGGCGUAAGGAAUCGAACCGAGGCGCCCGAUUCCGACCGCUAUUUCGCGGAUUCCUCACGCCGGACGUCGUCGUCCACCUCCGAUUCCGGUGGCUGUGAUGCGUCUCCGGCCUCCCCGUCUGCACGUCGAGCUUCAGAAUGCUCGCCGCCGGUGGCUCUCCGGCCACUCCCUGUGCCUGGCGCCGCCACUUCCUGGUCCGCGUCGACGAGGCGCACCCGACGCGAUCGGUCGCGCUUCCUGGGGCGCUCUACAACGCCCGCGCUCGCCCCCGUCGUCCCGCGGUGGUCACCGCCGCUCACCGUCUGCUGCACAUGGUCUCCACGUCGCCGCCACGUCGUCCGCCACGCGCCGUCCACGUCGACCCGCCGGUCCCACGCGACAGCCUCACGGGGUAAAACCCCCUCGGAUCACGAAGUGUUGAUGUGAGACACGACGAGUUCUUGGACAAGUUCUUCUGCAGCUUUUCACAGGCGAG